CGUUAAGUCGACCGCCUGGGGAGUACGGCCGCAAGGUUAAAACUCAAAUGAAUUGACGGGGGCCCGCACAAGCGGUGGAGCAUGUGGUUUAAUUCGAUGCAACGCGAAGAACCUUACCUGGUCUUGACAUCCACAGAACUUUCCAGAGAUGGAUUGGUGCCUUCGGGAACUGUGAGACAGGUGCUGCAUGGCUGUCGUCAGCUCGUGUUGUGAAAUGUUGGGUUAAGUCCCGCAACGAGCGCAACCCUUAUCCUUUGUUGCCAGCGGUCCGGCCGGGAACUCAAAGGAGACUGCCAGUGAUAAACUGGAGGAAGGUGGGGAUGACGUCAAGUCAUCAUGGCCCUUACGACCAGGGCUACACACGUGCUACAAUGGCGCAUACAAAGAGAAGCGACCUCGCGAGAGCAAGCGGACCUCAUAAAGUGCGUCGUAGUCCGGAUUGGAGUCUGCAACUCGACUCCAUGAAGUCGGAAUCGCUAGUAAUCGUGGAUCAGAAUGCCACGGUGAAUACGUUCCCGGGCCUUGUACACACCGCCCGUCACACCAUGGGAGUGGGUUGCAAAAGAAGUAGGUAGCUUAACCUUCGGGAGGGCGCUUACCACUUUGUGAUUCAUGACUGGGGUGAAGUCGUAACAAGGUAACCGUAGGGGAACCUGCGGUUGGAUCACCUCCUU
rnacentral:rRNA from 1 species